AUAUGUUAUAUUACAGCUGUAAGCACUGCACAAUUUUCACAAAGGUAUGUGUGCGCUGGCGUACAUAUCGCAAAACGAAACAAAUGAAAAAUGUGGUGGAAGAUCUUUGACAGAUUACGCUUUGGAGAAAUCAAUGAUCAGUGAGCGAAUGUCACAAAAGGCAGAUAAGGGAUGGAUAUAGAAGACACUCCUGGUGGAAGUGUAAAGUUGUAAGCUCGUCUUUCUGAGCAGUAGUGAAUACUAUCUACUGCCCAAAGGACGAAUUUACAAGUUUAUACUGCAAGGUACAUCUAGUAUGCCACAAUCAGGUUGACUCAUCUGGUGCAGUCCAUAAAUGAAGAUACUGCAGCAAGUAGCAUUUUUUAUUUUCCAUAAGCAGGACCAUUAUUUAGAACAUGGAAGUUAGACAGAUUCAAGAUAGCAGUAGUGUAGUAACUGAGUAGUCGGGUUGUCAUCUUUGUUAUGAGUGUACUAUGUGGUAGUUGUAUAAGUGACCUUUCUUAAAAUUGUCCUUAACUGUAAGUCUCCUUAAACUGAUUACACACACACACACACACACACACACACACACACACACACACACACACACACA